rnacentral:rRNA from 1 species
GAUGAACGCUGGCGGCGUGCCUAAUACAUGCAAGUCGAGCGAACAGACGAGGAGCUUGCUCCUCUGACGUUAGCGGCGGACGGGUGAGUAACACGUGGAUAACCUACCUAUAAGACUGGGAUAACUUCGGGAAACCGGAGCUAAUACCGGAUAAUAUAUUGAACCGCAUGGUUCAAUAGUGAAAGACGGUUUUGCUGUCACUUAUAGAUGGAUCCGCGCCGCAUUAGCUAGUUGGUAAGGUAACGGCUUACCAAGGCAACGAUGCAUAGCCGGCCUGAGAGGGUGACCGGCCACAUUGGGACUGAGAUACGGCCCAGACUCCUACGGGAGGCAGCAGUGGGGAAUAUUGCACAAUGGGCGGAAGCCUGAUGCAGCAACGCCGCGUGCGGGAUGACGGCCUUCGGGUUGUAAACCGCUUUCGCCUGUGACGAAGCGUGAGUGACGGUAAUGGGUAAAGAAGCACCGGCUAACUACGUG